rnacentral:rRNA from 1 species
GUUUGAAAUCAUAUUACCAUAAAAGAAAGAAUAAGGAUUGUGUCUAAUGCACCGGAUCCCAUCAAUACUCUGAAGGUAAGUGUGCUUGGACAAGAAUAGUACUAGGAUGGGUGACCUCCUGAGAAGUCCUUGUGCUGCACCUU